GUGGAAUUUACUUGCAAGUUUUUUUUCUUUAAAGAUGUGGGUAUAUUGGGGCAAGUUUGCUAACGGGUGUAGUUCCACCAGCAGAACAGUAUUCCAGUUGUAGCCCAUAGUUAGUCUUAAUGUUUUACCGUGUGUUUAACUAUUUAGUUUAAGGCAAAGAAAAUAAAACAAAAAAAAGAUAUUUUGUCAGUAAAAAAUUUUUCUUUCAUUUUGAUGUCAGUCAACUCAUAAAAACGUUACUGUGCCAUUGCAAAAGUCAAUGAAUGAAAUGAAGGAAAAUACAAAAACUGCCACUGUAUCUCUGAAAUAAUAGAAUUUCCAGGUGAAUAUAUAACUGUUCAUGUUUCGUUAUAUCCAGUCUUUUCAAAUAUACAUUUAUUUUUUUUCACCGAAUACAAAUAACUGAUGUAUCCAGAACUUUUGACAGGUAAUGAAAUCUUACUCUUUCUUUGUCUCUCAUACUUCCUUUUAUUGGCUUUUUCUUCUCUUUUUCUUCUUUUUUUUGUCUUUGCUCAUCUCUGACAAAAACGAGGGAGCAGUAUUAUCAGAUGGCAUCAAUAACCUCAGCAGCAGAGUUCAAACAGAGACUGUCAAACUCGCACGAAAGCACUGUUUUUUUUGUUUUGUUUUUUUUUUGUUUUUUUGCCUGUCCCGUUUGGCUCUUUUGCCAUCAGAAUUGUUGUCUAAAGGCAAAGAAAGAUGCCCAACGGAUUUACUUUACCAAAUUGACCAUCCCAGCCUUGCCGUAAUGGUCCAUUUGCUUCACCUUUUAUUGUUUAUUUUAUUUUCACUUACUGAAUACGGGACAGACUUGACUGGGGGAAAGAAGGGGAGAAAGAAAGAGGGAAAGAGAAACAGCUGAGAAGAGGGAUGGGGGAGAAGGGCAAAAGACAAAAACCAACAGAAUGAGCAGAAAAAAAAAAGAAAUAAAAAAAAGCAUAUAUCGAUCACCUGGAUCACCUGCUGAGAAAGAAAAAAGAAAACAAGCAGAAGAGAACAAGAGUAAUAGAAUAAACAGCAUCACAAUGAUAUAUGGGAAUAUGACAGUAAAUACUAAAUAUUAAACAUUAUUGUGCAGCACAUAAGAUCAACAGAACACAGUGUGCUUUGAGGUAGGAGCCAAAAAGGGUGUAGUUUGUGUGUGUGAGCACCCAUGUGUACACCUGUGAGCAUGGACGCGCUUGUUUUUUUUUUUUAAAAGGUUCCUUCAUGUAAUGAUCUGCUAGAGGGUGUGGGGGGGGGCACAGCCCCGUCCUCCAGGGCAUGAAGCAGGUAUGGAGGAGAUCAAAACUCCAGACAUCCAGAGGCCCCCAGAACACAAGAGACCAAGGAAGACCAACAGAGGGGUAGCCGCGCCACUGUCCCAGAAAGAGCUGAGGAGAGUCCCAGAUGAGGGCUCACUCAGCAGCCGCGGAGCAGAAGCCAGGGGGAGUUGCAGUGACGCGCCCGUGAGCUCCGCCGGCAGCCA
ensembl:lncRNA